UACGUAGGGUCCGAGCGUUGUCCGGAAUUACUGGGCGUAAAGAGCUCGUAGGUGGUUUGUCGCGUUGUUCGUGAAAACUCACAGCUUAACUGUGGGCGUGCGGGCGAUACGGGCAGACUUGAGUACUGCAGGGGAGACUGGGAUUCCUGGUGUAGCGGUGGAAUGCGCAGAUAUCAGGAGGAACACGGGUGGCGAAGGCGGGUCUCUGGGCCGAUACUGAUGCUGAGGAGCGAAAGCGUGGGGAGCGAACAGG
rnacentral:rRNA from 1 species